rnacentral:lncRNA from 10 species
GAAAUGUUUCACUUUGACCAAGGUCUGCAAAAGAGCAGGGGGCUUCCGAAAUGGUGCAAUUUAGACAAACACUGGGGUGUGAGAUGCUUUGCCCUAAAAAAUAUAUGCUGUUGUUGGGAGAGAAUCAUUGGUGGGUGUGACUGGAUUUGUGAUUGUGUGGACUCAUCAGGGAGCCUCCUGGAGCUCAGGAAUAAACAUACAUUCAUCUCUACGUGGAAGAAAAACAGGAGGAGGAGACGCAGCUCACAGAGGAAGGAGGGCAGAUGGGUACCGAAAGGGCACACUCCUCACUAGAAUCCCAGAGGGAGGGAACAGUCCCAAAGGAUUCUUCUGGGUGACGUGGAGACCAAACGCACAGGAACCCCCAGCACCUGCCCUGUCAUCUGGCUUAACUGAAACUAACACAGUCCUGGCCCAACAUCAUUUCCAGGGAGACUCUUUCUGGGACUCACGGAGGUGAUUAUGAGGGAAAAAAGGUGAUGAAUGUCCCUCCAUUCUUCAGUGCUCCUAGGACCUAAGUUGACUGCUCUCCAGGUUUCAGGUUGUCACUCUCCCUCUCCCUCCACAGAAUCAGUCAGUCCCAUUCUGGUACCUAUAAUUUCAUCUUUAUUCUCAUGAUCCCCUACUGUCUCCAAGACAUUUUGUCCCUAAGAGCAAGGUGAAACAGGGAUAAAGAUUUUUGUAUAAAACUUAAUUGUAACUAACUUUGAGUCCCAUAACUCGCUUUUAGCUGGGCUGCCACUCAUCGUGGGCAAAGUAGACUGGCCUGUUCAGAGAAAGAAUGACAUAUUGUGCCUGGAAUGGUCAGAGAGAGAAAUCUCAUAUUUUGGAAAUAGAUUCAUAACCCCCAGUGAUUUCAUCCUGAUCCUGGAGGCUGUCAAGAAGAGAUCAUUCCUGGAGGCUGUCAAGAAGAGAUCACGUCAAGAAGAGACAUCCAAAAGGAUGUCUCCUUCUGGAGACAGCCACAUUCAAUCAACAAAUUCCCUAAACAACAUUGAUGGAUCAAGAGGGGAAACAAGGAAGUAAAAUCAGACAGUUGGCCCAUUUUUAGUAGAUUUAGUGAUUAAAGACUCAGUAUGUCAGAGUGAAAAUGGUCCCAAAAGUCUAAAAGGUGACAUGAAUGAGUUUCAAGGGUCACGUGGUGCGGCUGGAGUCAGCUGGCGUGACAUGAUUGAAACCUCCAGAAGUGGGUCAAAAGUCCAAUGCACUCAUUCUGCCAGGAAUGGUCAGGGGCCUCCCCAACCGCCAGAUAAACAGAUCAACUUUCACCAAGAACCACAAGCCCGGCCUGCAGUGACAAGCUCUGCAUGAGACAGAUUCAGGCUCUGUCCAGAGCUUGAUUUUGGUCAGGUGCUUCAGAAAACAGUCCUUUACCAUGGACUCCUAAAUCACGGAUGCAACUGUUAGAUCAGCAGCUGAGAUUGUUUCCAGUUUGCAGCCUCAAAGAGGGUAUGCUUCCUCAGACAGUCUCUAGUUUGAAUGGGGAUGAACAAACAGCUAGAAUGUGGGCAGUGGCCAAAACCCUGAGUUUUGAUGAUUUUUUUUGUAACCUCCAUGUUCAAGCGAUUCUCCCACCUCAGUCUCCGAAGUAGCUGGGAUCACAGGUGCCUGCCACUACGUCCAGCUAAUUUUUUGUAUUUUUAGUACAGAUGGCAUUUCCCUAUGUUGGCCAGGCUGGUCUUGAACUCCUGGCCUGAAGACAUCCGCCUACCUCAGCCUCCCAAAAGGCUGGAAUUACAGGCUGGAGCCCCCACACCUGGCCCCAAGUCUGACCGUUGAGCGGAACAAACGCCCCUGCUGCAGGUUCCACGUGGCUGGCACUGAGCCCGAACAGCCUCUGCUGUGGCCACCGUGAGGAAUCUACUUCCCUGACCCAUCAGUGAACCUGGACCAGGCAUUUAGGGGUUACAUGGUAAAUUUGGGACCCCAUAAUGCCAUAGCUUUGCUUCAGACCGUGGAGAAGGGCAUAAAAUUUUCACCGAUGAUAGAUCUUGAUUUUUCCUUUAGAGCUGAGAUGUUGCUGGGCCGGUCCAUUUUCCUCCCAGAAUACACCAUUUCUGUGUCAUAAGCAAGGCUUUCGGGGGGUUUUGUAGAGUUUGGACUAACCCAUCUCAAAAUUGGAAUAUCAAGGUGGGGAGCCCCAAGCUGUCUGUGGGACAGGAUUUGGUGAUGACGAGAGCUCAGCAGCAAAGUAACAGAUAAUGUUCAAAAUCAGCGUGACUAUUAUUGUGUCAGGAUUGCGUCAGGGCAACUAGGACCCCACAGGCACCUCUAGGUGGAGGCUGCCUCCCUUUUCCAGAGGCUGCAGAUGACAAAAUCAUUUUGUCAUCUACAACUUUUGUCGACCACUGAAAUCAUUGAGCAAUGUAAGUCUGCUCACAUACUUUCAAUAAGCCUGCCCCGGAAAACAGAAGGCUGCAUUUCUUUGGGUUCUGUCAGUUACCUCUGCUGGCAGGGCGGGGAUCACACCCCACACAGGAAGAUUGAGAGCAACUCCUCUCACCUGCCGAGACACACAACAUCAUCUGCAUAGUGAGGAUUUGGGACAUCAGAGGCUAGAGGCACUCAUAGGAAUCCUAAUGACUCGCCCCCAACGGGUGGCAAAUGGCAGGAGAGUUAGUCUCACACGUCCCUACCUGCACCCAACCCAGACUGGAAUAAUUUCCUCUGGUACAUAGGGACACGAAGCCCAAAAACACACAACACAUCAAUUCCUACUGUCUAUUCUGAUGCAGAAACCGAACAGGACAUUGAAUUAGCACAAAAGACCCUCUUUCCGCCCUCACUGGGAACCCUGCCUAAACCCUGUCUGUUGAGUUUGUUUCUUGUUUUUGUGUUUUGUAUUUUUUCUCCGUGUAAUCACAGACUAAUAAGUAUAAUACACUAUACAAUGGCAUGGGUAAGGGACUGCGAAGGGCCAGUAGACCAGAGGAAGCUAGGAUAGGAGUGUGUGUGAGAGAGA